CUGUGAGACGCACCGGUCUCGUAUCUCUCACGGAGGAGCGGGAAUUUUCUUAGCAAUGUUAAAACGCACAUCAACCGAUCACUUGUUUAGCGUUCAUGUAAACACGACAUUCAGAUUCACCAAUCGGAAUGAAUUCAGUUAGAUUGAAACAAAAGGUGUGCAUCUGAAUCACGGACAUCGACGGCCGGACAUGUCCGGGAAAAAGAGGAUGGUAACCCCUACUACUCAGCUUUCUCCACAGAACAAGAGCCUGAUAGCUUAGCUUCCAAAAAAAGAUGGCCGACACUAUGUGUACAUUCUGUGAGUGAGAUCCCAGCCUCUAUGGGCGGGUUGAGAACAUGAGGAACAGCCCCUACUACUGGCUGUAGUCUUUAGCCUCUGGCCAAAAAAUCCUCCGAUGACGCAAAAUGACGAUUUUUGCGUCAUCGGAGGAUUUUUUCCAGACAAAAAAUACAUAAAUCUCUCGUUUCAGGGGGAUAUGAGGGUGGAAAGCAUGUUAAUUCGAAAAUACUACAGGUUUUCGACUAAUACAAAGCUUAAUGCUAAAUCCUGAAGUAUCCCUUAAAGUCGGCAUGAAAUCAAAUUUGACAAAUCUUCUUUUUAUAUGUAAUAUUGUAGUGUUUAUUAUAAAUGAUUUAUCUGUGCACUUCAUUAUUU